rnacentral:rRNA from 1 species
AUGUGCACUUUCAAUGAUAUAAUCCGUCAACAAAACCUAAUUGAAUUGCCGCUAAAAGGUCGUGUGUACACGUGGAGCAAUAUGCAGCAGGAUCCAUUGUUGGAACAACUCGACUGGUUCUUCUCCUCUAUACACUGGACAUUUGCUUACCCCAACACAAUUGUUAAACAGCUCUGCAAGCCUGUCUCUGACCACACUCCAUGUGUCGUAAGCAUUGAGACAAAAAUCCCUCGGACCAAGCUUUUCCGAUUUGAAGCCUAUUGGUUACUUCACCCUGGUUUUAUGGAUGUGGUUAGAAAUUCUUGGACUCGUCCUGUCAACUCCUCUAAUGCCGCCAUGGCGCUCUGCCGCAAAUUCAAGCUACUUCGUCAAGCGCUCAAAGUUUGGAGAAAAAAUAUCUCCAGGUUAUCUGUGGCUAUCGAGAACACAAACAAUACUCUCUCCGAGUUGGAUGGUCUGGAAAAUUUGAGACCUCUAACCAACCCCGAAUGCAACUUCCGCAAGAUCAUCAAAUCUCACUGUAACAUCCCAAAUUUUCAAUUUGGAAUGUUAUACAUUAGAUCAUCAUGCAUUACAUAUUUUUCUUGCAUUUGUCGAUCCUAG